GUGAGGGAUAUUGCACAAUGGGCGCAAGCCUGAUGCAGCGACGCCGCGUGGAUGAAGAAGGCUUUCGGGUCGUAAAAUCCUUUUGCGCGUGACGAGAAUGGACGGUAGCGCGCGAAUAAGUCUCGGCUAACUACGUGCCAGCAGCCGCGGUAAAACGUAGGAGACGAACGUUAUCCGGAGUUACUGGGCGUAAAGGGCGUGCAGGCGGUUUGAUAAGUUCGGCGUGAAAUUUUCCGGCUUAACCGGGGGAUGUCGUCGGAGACUGUCGGACUAGAGGGUGAUAGAGGCGUGUGGAAUUCCGGGUGUAGUGGUGAAAUGCGUAGAGAUCCGGAGGAACACCAGUGGCGAAGGCGACACGCUGGGUCACACCUGACGCUAAGACGCGACAGCAUGGGGAGCAAACGGGAUUAGAAACCCCUGUAGUCC
rnacentral:rRNA from 1 species